rnacentral:rRNA from 1 species
CUCGUAGCUUGCUAUGAGAACAGUUAGUGGCAGACGGGUGAGUAAUGCAUAGGAAUCUACCUAGUAGUAUAGGAUAGCCACUAGAAGUGGUGGGUAAUACUGUAUAUUCCCUGCGGGGGAAAGAUUUAUCGCUACAUGAUGAGCCUAUGUUAGAUUAGCUAGUUGGUGGGGUAAUGGCCUACCAAGGCAGUGAUCUAUAGCUGGUCUGAGAGGAUGAUCAGCCACACUGGAACUGAGACACGGUCCAGACUCCUACGGGAGGCAGCAGUGGGGAAUAUUGGACAAUGGGCGCAAGCCUGAUCCAGCUAUGCCGCGUGAGUGAGGAAGGCCUUAGGGUUGUAAAACUCUUUCAGUGGGGAAGAUAAUGACGGUACCCACAGAAGAAGUCCCGGCAAACUCCGUGCCAGCAGCCGCGGUAAUACGGAGGGGGCAAGCGUUGUUCGGAAUUAUUGGGCGUAAAGGGCAUGUAGGUGGUUUGGUAAGUUAAAGGUGAAAUGCCAGGGCUUAACCCUGGAGCUGCUUUUAAUACUGCCAGACUGGAGUCCGGGAGA